CCCGGUGAGGUGGGAUCGGCGGGGUUGGCUUCCCGCUGCCCCGCGGCGGUGUCGCAAGGGCGGGCUCGUCGCUGCCUGACUCCGGGGGUCCCCGGGCGUGGAGGCUGCGGCGGCAGGCGGUGGAGAGGAAAAGGCGGAGAGGUGCUCAAGGCCGGGUGGACAUUAGCGAAUGUAGGUGGCCGUGGUAGGACUGGGGAAACCCAGCCCGAAACUGACGAGCCUGACAACUCCAGCUCAUAUUUGGCAUAACCAGACGAUGCUUAAACUUUUCAAGUGCCCCGAGUUUUAGUCCGAAUGUGGUACUUCGGUCCCAGUGUCAGUGCUAGUUUUGGGGUAUGCUCAGAAACCCUUCAGUCUCAACCACAUGAAGCAGUUUUGACAGCAGUUUGCCUAAAACUACAGUCCAGGAAUUAGGCUUUUCUUUGCCUGUUUCCUCAGGGAUCUUUAUUUGGUAAGGACUGUCAGGGCGUUGAAUUGCUGCAGGAAGGCUAACAGAACAUUAAGCUCGCUAUCCUUACUGGCCAUUGCAGCGUAUCUCCUCAAGGCCAUCAAUUACGGUUGCAUCCGUGUAAUUUUUCAGGAAAGCAGUUGGAUCCAGCUCUGCAAAGGAGCCACACAAAAUGCUCCUGUGGAGCAGAGGUGGUGAUUGUUUUUUAUUCAAGCUCUGAGUGGCAAAUGUGCUAAUGUAGGAGACUUGGGUUCAGUUGCCUCCUCUGUUUAAGGGGAUUCUUUCAGCAGAGGCUGGCCGAACCACCAGGCUACGGACUAUCCUGUAGUCCAGGAGGAGCUUGUUCUGUUAUGUUGGCUAUUCUACGGGGCAGUUACUUAAAACAGAGGAGCAGAGCUCUUUCAACCGUGGACAAUUUCUCCCUUAUCCUUGUAGAAUGUUGUGGUCGCUGAGGUUAUAUUUGUUACAGUAAGUAAAACAGGUCAAGGCUUUUCUGGCCUUGGAGAUGUGUGGCAUGUUAUGGCUGUCAGCCACAUGCCAGAGCACUCUUCCCCCACAGAAGAUGCCUGUCUGCCUCCAGCCUGCCUGCUGGCACAUACCGUCUCCCAGCUGUGUAUAAAAGAGGACUGGCUGGGCUGGAUCAGAACUGUGCCAGGUAUGCUAGCCAUAAAACAGUACAGAUGGCAUUGUGGCAUUGGCACCUGUGUUCAAGCAGCAGUUCCUGGCUGUGAACCAUCAGUGGAGGAAGGUGCCUGCAGGAAAAAUUUUAGAAAAAUAAGGCUGUAUCUGAAUUGGGAAGAAGUGCAGUCCAAAAGAAGUGGCUCUGUAGCAAAGCAACCAGAUAUGAGGACCCAGCAUCCAUAAUAUGCAAGUUUCAUGGGGAAUUACUUCAAACUACCUCUAGUCUGAUCCCAUGAACUGAGCACACAUUAGCGAAAGAAACACACGAGGGACGUCUUCUGGGUUAGUUUCAUGCAAAGGAGAACCAGUGAUGGGCUCAGACUGUUUCAUGAAGCAACUCAAAGCUCAGUAGUUAGUUGGAGAUGAUUGUGGGAAUCACUCCAAAAGUAUGCUUUGAAUUCAAACUAAAACUGUAAAGGAGGUGCAGCGUAGGAGCGAGCGGGGGCUGUGAUCUCAAGCACAGUACAAGUAGCUUCAGGUAGUCCCCGGCGCAUCAUCCCAGUUGGUUGGGUUCAAGCUGAAGGAGCCUAGUCCUACUUGUUUACAGGGGACGACGAGUGGGGUGGGAAUUCUUCUAAUGUUUAAACAGCGAACUGUCACAUAGAAACCAUUUCCAGUCCAUGGAGAAAACGUGGCACUCUUAAGGUGAGAUUCAUCUCAUUGAAAGAGGUAAUAAAACAGAUAAAAGAAGCAUAACAUAGAAAAACCUGUUUCUCUCCACUGGCUUUAAAAGUUGUCCAGACAAGUGUGUCAGGAGAACUGAAAUCCCACUCUUGCUCUAGAAGUUAGAGCUCUGAAGUAGUUUCCAUGGACAGGCGCUCCUCUAAGUUAAGUACCACAGAGUUUGUGUUCGUUACUGGAAACAAACACUGCAGGAUUAUUCAUCGCAUUUAACCGUUGUACAAAUAUUCCCCUGAGAAUUCCUUCUUCUUGCCUAAGUACAUCAAAGGUUGAGAUGAGAAAGGUGAAAUCAGUGCUGCAGAAGCGUUCUUUGUGUACAUCAGUUUUGAGAAGGUGGCAAGGUGCAGUGCUGAAAGAGAGUGGUUUGUAUCGGAUCACCAAGACUGUAUUUUAAACCAAACUUCAGUUUUCCUAUGGGUGCAUAUGUGGAUGUUUCUUUCACCAGCCCAAACAAGCACUAGGCAGUAAUGAAUCUUGCCCUGACAUUCUCUCGAGGCAGCACAAUCAAGCUACAGAACACAGACCAUUUAAUUCAGACUUUUUAUCCUCCAGUAAAUUACAGAUAUUCUGAGUGUCUCAACAGUAAAUAAUUCAGUGGGAGUAUUUGCUGGAAAAAAAUGCUUCAGUGGUGAAGUCUGCAGGCCUGCUGAAUUUGAAGGGAGAGGGGGGAAAUGUACAAUCUAAGCCCAGUUUGCAUCUCUGAUAAAACUUCAGAACUCUUGAUUUACUUUAUCUUUGAAGAGAAAAAUCCAACUCUUCUGAAGAAUUGAAUUGUACAGAAUGUACAGGAGGCACAAAACCAAGUAUGUCAGAGGUAUAAAUUUGUAAACAGGAGUCAUCUGGAGAAAAACCAUGGGUCAUUUAUAAAUCCAGAGGCCUGUGGAUUUAAGAGGCUUUUCAGAAGAAAGUUACAGAGGGAAAACAGGGUGGUUUUGUACUACUGCAGGUCUGUUCCCUGAGUUCAGGAGGUAGCCAAGGGUCGGUGUGGCCCACUGUGGGAUCCCAGAACAGCUGGAGUGUAGCGUUCCCAAAGCACAGCUGGCCGCCGGCCAACACGCCUGUGCCUCCUCUGGUCCCGUGGUGUCUGUCCCUGCUCUGGGGGCUCUGGGUGAGAACAGGAUGGUUCUGCUUGCUGGCCUUGCUGCGGGCCAGAGAAACUUCUUAGCUGAGAGAGCUCCUGGAAACCAGAAUCAGAGCACAGUGGAAGUAACAAGUGGUCUGUCACUUUUACCAGAAGGAUCUGGAGCUUGGCUGUAGGGAGUACCGUUAGGUGUGCGGUCCCUGCAGGUGCACGUACAGAAUCAUUAGGAAGGGCUGCAGGAUUAAGUUCUGAAUUAGAACACUCAAUCCGAUGAACAGUUGUAUAAGGUAGUUCCUUAGAUCUCCCAGAAGUUGCACGUGCACUGGUGCAAUUUUGAACAACUCUCUUUCCAAUGCUGACUUGAAUGUAGCUGGACUGAAGUUACGAAACAUUGGGAGCCAUCAGCUGCUGUUGACACUUUGUUUGACAUCAUAUGUAUCCCAUGCUGAAUACGAAACUGUUCAUUUCCUCAUGGUUCAGUUCCUAUUGUGCUCUCCUCAUAUAAUUUUUAAUGUUGCAAGAGCACAUGGUUAAUAAUCCGAUAUGGACAUUUCCCGCUCAGUCACAAGUAAUCUGUUACUACUUAGCAGGAAUUGUCAUCUACUGACAUAAGAAGCUGCAUGACUCUCACUUUGCAUCACAUGUUAGAUCCAGCAGGUGAAAUUUAAAGCACUUUUAGAAAGAGAAAAUUCAUUUCCCUUCAGUCAAAGAUUUUCAUGCACAGAAAGAGUAGGAACCAAACAACGUGUGGCUAGUAAAACUACAUUUUUAAGGGCCUCUUCGGUGACUUGUGCAAGCAACUGUAGAAGAACAAUUAAAACUGCAGAAGUGUGCAUUAAUUUUGCUUGUGAAAUUUAAUAAAUAAGUCACUGCUGUUGUUUGUACUCCUAACACUGACAGAAGUGUGAGAAUAUGUUUUGAGGAAGACAGGGCAGAUUACUCCAGCGUGUGUGAAGAAGGAAGAAUAAAUUAUCUUGCAGGAUUCACUUUAACCUAGUGCACACAGAGGUUUGCAGCAAGUUCUUUUUAAUAGUGUGUUUGCAUCAUUACUGGGAUGCAUAGAAAAACUAUGACAAAGAAAAGCCCACAAACAAUAGGGAGAGACAAUAUUUUAAAGCUGGCUUUCCUUUUACUCCAGAUUUUCUUGAACAGUGUCUAUAUAAAUCAGCCACAAGACUGGAAUCUGAACCCCAGUUCUCUCCUUUGAUUCAUCUACUUUUAUCUAGUGACAUUCUUGCUGUGUUGUCUUUUUUUCACAUUCUGAUCCCUGAGAACACAGUUCUUUCAGCAGAGAAGAAAGAUAUCUUUAGACCAACACUGCCCCACCUAGUUUUGUUAGCACUAAAACAUGCUAGCCAUUGAAUGGUACAAGAUGAGGAAACACACUCGAGCUGUCUGGCUCAUUGAAGCUGAGCCAGAGAAUCACAGAACGAAAAGCAGGGGGAGCUUAAGGAGCACAAGAGAAUCUUCCUCAUCUGUUGUCUGGUGUAAAGCACGGAGUCCACACAGCACAGAACUGCUGUUUCUGCGCUCACCAGAAGCUGGGACAUUGUCACUGCAGACAGUUGCUCCUGGGAAAUUAGCUAUAAACUCUGACAUGUUUCUCUUGAUCAUUGUAAAUCACAUAUUUUCAAAGACUUCUUGCUUGCCAUGUCCCAGAUGGGAAGGCCACCUCCUGACAAGUUUCAUGUGAAUGCUCCAAAGCUUGGGGGUGCUAGAGCAGCUCAAAGAACAUGUCACUAUUUUUUUAACAUGGUUAGUUACUUUCUUUUCAGAAACAGUUGAAUUGUUGGCUGACCUUUUCCAAAAACUUUGAGCAGCCACCAAACCCGGAAAACUUCAGACUGUAUGGUUAGAGCUGGCAAAGCUAUAAACAGUGUAAGAUGGGGCCUAACAAUGGGAAAUGCAAGCCAUGAUUUGGGAUAUUUUUUUUCCCCCUUACCUGCCACGUGUGGAAGUAACAAAUGAGGUAAAGCAGCCGCUGUGCUGCUGCGUUUCCCUGCCUGAAUCCCAGCAGCCCGGGUUGCCGCUGGACCGCUGCUGUGGCCUGCCGGGCCUGUGACUCGGUGGCCUGGGUGGCCUGAGCCAGCAGUGCGGGCACCCUGUGGGAACUCCAGCUCUGCUGGGCUGCACAUGCCUUCCCUGGAGGUCCUAAGCCUUUCCCUGUUAAAAUCAGGGACCUGCCUGAAGUAUGCCACAGCUUCCAGCCGGUGCAAUUGAGUUUCUCUUCCAUGGAAACAGAGAGCCCAGGAAGGGGACAGGACCUAGACAGAAUAGGGCUGGCAUCCUUGUGUAGGGUUGGAUGGGCAGUGAAUUCAUACCCAGGUCCUGCAGAUGCAUAUUUAUACCUCAGUUACCUGUGUAGGGUCUGUUUCCAACCACGGGAAUUAGAGAGGUUUUGGCUUCUGAGCUCUUAUGGUGGUUGGUAAGUUCAGACACAGGAAAUUUGAUGAAUACGUUAGGUCUGUGGCUUGCUAACUAAUCUAGCAACUGUUUUGUGUAACUGGGAGGCAUGGAAAGUUUUCUUUUCUCACCAACAAGCACCCACCUUCCUAGCUGGCUGUGCUGCUUCAUUAUGCCUGUUUGCUCUGCACCAAGGCAGCAGUCCCACUUUGGCUCCUCUGAUCUACUCCCAGUACCCAAAUUACCUCCUGAAGGAGUCUCUAAGGAGACUCCACAGUUGGAGUCUGAAUUGCAGCAAUCCUCAGAUGCUAGAAAACCAUAGGUAGCCUGCAAAAAAAAAAAAAAAAAAAAGAGUAGCCCAAGCCCUUACUCACAGAAAGACAGAGUGGGCUGCUUGGGUAAUUCAGUGUGAGGCACAAGACCAUUGACAUGAGCAUCUCUGUGUCAUCGCCUGUUUGUAUUAUAUAGUAUCGUGAACUCUCAGAACUGCGGUAGCACGGCAGUAUUAGCUGUCAGUACUUUAUGGCAAGUCAGCUCUAAACUGGGCUCUUGCGGCAAAGAGGGCUGAUGGUAUGGAUCCUGGGCUGCACCGGGAGGCGUGCUGCCAGCGGGUGAAGGGAGGUGAGCCUUCCCCUCUGCUCAGCACCUGGAGAGCUGUGUGCAGGGCUGGGCUCCCCGGUGUCGCACGAGAGAUAGGGAGAUACUGGAGAGAGUCCAGCAAAAGGCCGCUAAGAUGAUGAGAGAACUGGAGCACCUCUCCUGUGAGGGAACACUGAGAAAACUGGGGCUGUUCGGCCUGGAGGAGAGAAGGCUCGGGGGGAUCCCAUCAGUGCCCAGAACACCUGAAGGGAGCGGGUAAAGACAUCGGAGCCAGGCACUUCCCAGGGGUGCCCAGUGACGGGACCGGGGACACUGGGCACAAACUGAAACACGAGAGGCUCCAUCUGAACAUCAAGAAACACUUUUUCAAUCUGAGGAUGACGGAGCACUGGCACAGGUUGUCCAGAAAGGUUGUGGAGAUGUCUCUCCUUGGCGACGGAUAUUCAGAAGCCGUCUCAGCGUGGUCCUGGGCAACCUGCUCUAGGUGACAGUGCUUGAGCAAGGGGGUUCAGAGGUCCCCUCCAACCUCAGCUGUUCUGUGAUUCUGUUAAAUUCUGUGGAAAUUUCUCUUCAGCUGAGUUAGGGAAGUUAUCAACUGAACCAUUUACUAUUUGAAUGUUGCUAACAUGUUUAUUUCAGUAACUGGAUGGAUUUGUUUGUCCUUUCAGUGCAUUUUCAUUUUAACCACAGGUUUUGUGAUUAUAAUCACAGUGUAUAGAAUCACAUUUAUACAUACAGAUUGCUAGUCUUUCAUGGUAUUUUGUUUUCCAUUUCCAAUCAUUUACUCUGCCAGAAUUACAAGACUUGAAUGAAGCUAAUGUCUUUAUGUAAUCUCUUGAUCCUGAUAUUUAGGGCAUUAUGACAAACCUCAAAGUAAAAGUUGCAAUAAAAUUAAGAUGAUAGUGCUGUGUCACGGAUACAAAUUGUUUAGUUUGGGUGAGUGCAUAAGCCUCAUCUAAAUCAGGACCAAAACAACCAUUAGUGAAGCAGCUGAGAAUACUUGCAUGUGAACUGCAAUCUCAAAGCACAGCUUGGAGUAGGACCUGUCCCACUGAGAGGAACGGAACGUGUCACAUCUUUCAGUGAUCAUACUCCAGGCAUUCUGCAGACUCCUGGAUCAAUUUUGCAUGCAGGCUGUCUGUAGGGAACAGGCCCUUGCCAACACUAACUGCCAAAGCAUGCAUUAUAACCCCAGCUGAGAGUUAUUUGGUUUAGGAAAAAAACUGUGCCAAGGGUCAUUCUAUCAAUUUAACAGUUGCCCUCUAGUGCCAUUCAUGGCAUUGUCCAAUUCAGCCGAGUAGAUGCAGCCAAAUGUUGCCAGAAUGCAUUUAUUUUUAAUGAAAAACUAGAUUCCUCUACAUCAGUCUGAAGCCAUUAACAGUUUCUAAAACAAAUUUGAUAGUCACAAAAUCAACAUGUUGUUUGUUACGUUUUUAAAGAGGUGGAACAGUUGACAACUUGGUAAAUCAAAUCAGCAGAAUAUAAAUAGUGAAAGAUAUGGCUCUCCUUGAGCCAUAUAUCUGAGCAAAAAGAGUAAUGAAGGGUGUCUUAUCAUUCUAGCCUCAACUUCUGCAAAUCCACUGAGGCCCCAUCUGUUAAAUUGACUCUUGGAACCUGGAUAUCCUCCCUCUCCUACCUGGCAGGAUUGCUCCUUGCUGAUUUUUGGCUUCUUACAAUCUUUUGCAAUUUUGGUCUUCACAGAGUGCGUAAGAUCAGCACCUCACUUGUUUCUCUUAAGCAAGUGUGAACAACUGUUUUGAAUAAGUAUUUGCUUUCUCUUGGUGGGACCUAACACGGUGCCUUGUAAGAUGAGGACCCUCAUUUCAUGACCUCGCCUGAAACCAAGGGGAGUUCUGUUUCCACCUUUUCAAUUCUUUCCACCCGCCUCUGAGUUACUUUGGGUACUUUUAAAUCCAUCCGGUAUUUACACGUGAUGGUGUCAGUUACAAGGGGAAUUGUGUUUCCAAUCUGCCAUUAACUUUUUUAUAAAGAAUGUUUCCAAAAGUGCUGAAAUGAGCCAUAAAAUGACCGUAGGUCUGAAAAAAAUCAUAGAGCAGUAUUUUAAGAUUACUUGUUUUUUAAGAUUGAGAGGUGAAUUUAUACAUGUAAAAGUACCUUCACAGAGGUAAAAUACUUGGUGCUAAAUGACUCUUUCACUUAUCAGAAAAAUGUGUAAAAAACCCCCAGUAUCUGGAAUUAAAAAACAGCCAACUUCAAUACAAAAAGUCAUAUAUUUUUAAAGCUGGAGGUGACUAUGAUAAAAUAAACUUCCAGAGAGAAGCAAUUGGUUCUCCACUGCUUAAUGCUUUCCAAGUAAGACUGGCUGCCUUUCCAAGAGGUAUGCUUCAGGUGAGUAUUUGGAUAAAAUAAAAUGGCCUCUGUUAGGUACUCCAAUAAGGUGAGAUAAGUUCUUUCUUGAGAGAGUGAAAUGAGUGAGUCCAUGAGAAGCAAGAAGAAGCCAUUUCUGGAUCUAUGAAAUCAAUUUCUGUUCUGGUUGUAAGCGUGAGCUUAUGAAGCUCUACUGCUCACACCAGAAAUAUUGUUCACUUCGUUGGCCAUUCAGGAAGUCAGGAUACAGCCUAGAAAUAAAGUUCUCUCCAGAACAGCGUGACACACUAACAGUACCCAGCCACCUCCACCUGUCACAUGGAGCGUGGAUGAGUUUCUCUGGCAGAAGCCAGAGAAAGUAAAUAGAGGCACAAAGCCACCAGUGCGGCUGCCAGCACAUACACUUCCCAGCCCAGCCUCUGGAGCUCAGCUUUUCACAUACUGCACUGAAUGGUUCCAUUAGAUUUGCAGCAACAGUAAAGAUAAUAUGAUCCGAGAAUCUUUAAGAAAGUUUAUGUGAUCACAUAAUCAGGUGGAUUGUUGCAUGCUUGUGGUUGUAUACCUACUUGUAAAUAAUUGAAUAUGAUUAGUUUAAAUAGGGAAGUGGUGACAGUAAAGACUUUGCCAUGUAGAAGCUAGAAAAAGAGUCUCAUUUGACUUGUUCUGCUAGAAGGUGAUAUCCUUGAUUAUAUCUCUAAUUAUUUCUUGGUGUAUUUUGUUAUCCUCACAGUUUGUUUUCAUUUUGGCUCAUUUAAUAUUUGUCACUGAUCUAGUAACAGGACACCACACGUUGCUGUGUUGUGACUUCUAAAAGCCUGACUGGAGAAUCCCUACUUGCCAAUUUCUGCUUUCACUUCUGUCAAAAUAAUAAGCAGUGGAUGGACCCUUAUGAAAGUAUCAUGCAGAAUGAGAAUUGGUUGUGUCUCGCAGUUACGCUGAAGAUCUGCAGUCCAGCAUCUGAAGUGCCAGCAGGAACUGGAGGGAGGACACGAGGAGAGGUGGACAUGGCUUGAGCAGAGAGCAGCGGCUGCUAGAUCUGCAAGGGGUAAAUGUGAGGAAGGAAAGGGUGUCCAGUGACUCCACCCGUCCUGCUGUCCAUUCGGGAACCACAAACUGCCCCAACUCUUGCAGAGGUCCUUGUGCCUGACACCGGCAUCCUAUACGCCGUGCAGCCAUGCUGCAGAGCCCUGGUAGCUGGCAGACCUGUGGACUUGCUCUGCUGACUCGCUGGGAAAGGACGCCUUUUCCUCGCUGUAAGACAGACCUGGAUACAGAAACAUCUACUUUUCUUGGACAGGCACGGACUGACUCUUCAGUCACCAGCCAGCUGCCUGACUACACGUCAGCUGUAGUUUAGUUAAUGCACAAAGCUAAUAGGCAGCUUCUGGUUGUGUUAAGAACUGAAUGAGAACUGACCUGCGCAGAGGAUAGAAUAUGAACUGGAACCAGUAUCUUACUCUGGAGUUAAAAGACUAUGACUGGAAACCUUUGGGGAAAAAAGAAAAAAAGUGAUUUAAACAUCACAUUCGAACCUGAACACUGAAAAAAGUCAAACAUCUUCACGUGGAACUAACUGAGCUGCCGCAAAGGCCAUCAGCUUGGUUGGGAUCUGCGGAGCGGCAGUAACCGAACGUCUCUUGAGUUGAUGGAACUGGUGCUACAAGGAGCACGUGCCGCCUUUGGGUGUUGACCUGCUGCGGGCUGAGCGGGGCUGGGGGCACCCACCCUGGCAUCACACACCGCGGGCGUUGGGGAAACCUCAGGAGGAGGGUGAGAAAGAUCCUGCUUAAUUUUCGGGCGUGGGAUGGAGGCUGCUCAGCCGUUGGGUGGAGAUCGAGUAUGGGCAGCCUGCUGGCAGGGAUUAGGCCACACGUUGCAGAAGGGUGUUUGGAGAAUUAGCUGGCAAACUUUAAAAAGUUUCUAAAGAGCACACAAGUCAUCUGAAGUGUGAAAUUGGGACACGUUUCACUACGUUUCAGUGGGGAUUGGCACCAGAGUAAAUCGCUGCCAAGUGAAAACUGCCAGCUCUAAAACAUGGAGGUUUUUUCCUCCAUUCAACAAACUAGUUUUAAGAAUUUUCUGUGAGGGAAAAGCCAUUCAUUUUCCCUUCACCUCACCCUCGGAAAGAAUGGUAUCUUUCUCAGAAUGGAUUUUUGAAUUAUUUUGCUUUAAAUUAUCAUAUUUUAACUAAAAUAUUUUGGUUUGCCUAGAACUGGAGGGAAAUGUAUUGUGUUUCCCAUAGGAGUGAUGUCCCCAGAAGUGCUGAACAUUUCACCUAUCCUUUUUAUCAGCCUUAGGCAGAUACCAAACAGGGAAAAUACAGGAAGGAAGAAGAUAGGGAAGUGUAGCAACUUUUAGCAGAGGCAUUAUUAUUAUUGUCACUGCUUAUAAUGGCUUCUGCAAUAGUGGAAACAAACUGCAUCUAUGUAUCCCCUUUUCCGCUAUGUUUAUUUUAUUUUACUUAGGCAAAUUAGUUUUCUUCAUCUAUGUUAUAAUACAAACAUUUGAAUGUAGAAGAAAUACUGCUGAAACAUUAUAGGCAACUAAAAACACAGUAGUAACUGUGGAUUGUUUUUUCCUCUAGGGAAAAAAAAAAAGGAAAAAAAAAAAUUUUACUGAUCUUGUCCCUUUUUUUCCAGUUUAACUAAUCUUUUUUUUCUCAAAAUAAUUGGAAAGAACUUUGCCGCUUUGUUCAGAUUUGAAAGCAAAAUACGUGAAAAUGUCACGCUGAUGUAUAUCCAAGCUUGAGCAACUGCUGCUACAAUUGUUCCUGCCUCUGACAUCCCACGAGGCCUGAGGUGGUACUGGGCUUGGCCUGCCUAAUCCCACAGCUCUGGCACGGCCUGGACUGAACGUCCCGCUUCCCUCUGAACGUUAUUGGCGUAUGCCAAAGAGCUCACGGAGGAGCUGAUGGAGGAUCAGACUCUGUCAUAACAACUUGUUGAGGGGUCCUUCCGUGGAGAUGUGCCCCUCCAUUGGCUUCUUCCCAGCAAUCACAGGAUGCUAAAACCGAUCAAGAGCGGUCAUUUCCCCCCGUAUGCGGGGGAAAAUCACUCCCGAAAGGCACCAGGUGCUGCAGCCAAACCAGUGAACUGCAAUGGAUCCGUACCAAAAAAAUAAGGAUAAUGUAAUCGAAUCAUCACCAUCAGAUCAUCUCCAGUAGAACUCAUCUGACAAAAGCGUGUUAAAGUAGAGCACAUAACAAUGGUGCAAGAAGUUUGCCAGGAGAUUUAACGGGAAGAAUGCCUUUCCAUUUUCAGGCACUCCCCGCAAUGGCAAGAGCAAAAAGAAAUUAAAUUCCCAAACUGAAAAAAAUUAAGGGAAAAUAACGUUUUAUCUAUGCUGGCAGUUGGCUAACAUUGUUAUGCCAUGUAACUAUGUGGUUUCUCUGUUCUGCUAACCCCUGCCUGGGCAUGGCCUACACAGAAAUGCUUGUUGAUCUCAUGAGUCAUUCCCAGGAGAUGGCAAAUAUGACUGAGAGACUGGGAGGCGAGACACAUGCGACAGGAUGGAAAAUCAAAAGAACUGCUGGAUGACUGCAGAGCUGUCAAGAGGAUAUCUGUGCAGUGACUACGCAAGGAAGAGGACGUGAAGGAAAGAUGCAGAACGUGACCACGGCGCCCUUUUGCUCCCGUUCCUCCAUAGCUGCUGUUCCUGGGGGGGGGAAUCCUUUGCAAUCCCUGACAGAGCUGAGGGGAGAGACAGUUGUCUCUCACUGGUCCCAGUCCCAAGACUAGGAGACCAGUAAUGGUCCCCCUGGUGUAUAACUACCAUUCUCUGUUACACACGUACCGUAGCACUUUGGUAAGCUGUGCAAUAGUUUGCUUGGCUCAGGGUUGACAUUGUCUUGCUAUUUAUGAAAUCAAUAAAAGCUUUUUGUUUAUUGA